rnacentral:rRNA from 1 species
AGCGGCGGACGGGUGAGUAACGCGUGGGUAACCGUGCCUCAUACAGGGGGAUAACAGUUGGAAACGGCUGCUAAUACCGCAUAAGCGCACAGUACCGCAUGGUACGGUGUGAAAAACUCCGGUGGUAUGAGAUGGACCCGCGUCUGAUUAGGUAGUUGGUGGGGUAACGGCCUACCAAGCCGACGAUCAGUAGCCGACCUGAGAGGGUGACCGGCCACAUUGGGACUGAGACACGGCCCAA